rnacentral:lncRNA from 1 species
UCGGCGGCGCUCCCAUGGCGCACAUUACCAUUAACCAGUACCUGCAGCAGGUGCACUUAUGCAGUGGGGAAUCAUGACUUCAUAGAGGCAUACAAGUGCCAGACCGUGAUAGUCCAAUAUCCUUUGUCGUUCAUGGCAGCUGUCCCGCAUAGAACACAUGCAGUGGAUUACUUGGGACUUGAGACCCGGAAACACUGGGCCAGUUGCUCAUUUCUGCAGUUAGAAAGGAAUGACAGUGUUUUGGAACAGAAGCUCGUUUCAGCUCUUUCACUUGG